rnacentral:rRNA from 1 species
UACGUAGGGUGCAAGCGUUGUCCGGAAUUAUUGGGCGUAAAGAGCUCGUAGGCGGUUUGUCGCGUCUGCUGUGAAAACCCGGGGCUCAACCCCGGGCCUGCAGCCGAUACGGGCAGACUAGAGUUCGGCAGGGGAGACUGGAAUUCCUGGUGUAGCGGUGAAAUGCGCAGAUAUCAGGAGGAACACCGGUGGCGAAGGCGGGUCUCUGGGCCGAUACUGACGCUGAGGAGCGAAAGCGUGGGGAGCGAACAGG